UCGUCAGCUCGUGUCGUGAGAUGUUGGGUUAAGUCCCGCAACGAGCGCAACCCUUAUUGUUAGUUGCCAUCAUUUAGUUGGGCACUCUAGCGAGACUGCCGGUGACAAACCGGAGGAAGGUGGGGAUGACGUCAAAUCAUCAUGCCCCUUAUGACCUGGGCUACACACGUGCUACAAUGGGAAGUACAACGAGUCGCUAGACCGCGAGGUCAUGCAAAUCUCUUAAAGCUUCUCUCAGUUCGGAUUGCAGGCUGCAACUCGCCUGCAUGAAGCCGGAAUCGCUAGUAAUCGCGGAUCAGCACGCCGCGGUGAAUACGUUCCCGGGCCUUGUACACACCGCCCGUCACACCACGAGAGUUUGUAACACCCGAAGUCGGUGAGGUAACCUUUUUGGAGCCAGCCGCCUAAGGUGGGAUAGAUGAUUGGGGUGAAGUCGUAACAAGGUAACCGUA
rnacentral:rRNA from 1 species